UAUAUAUAUAUUAUCAUAUCAUUUGAAUGUUAGCUCUUCGUUUCUUCGCUUUCGCCCAGGAAGGGUUCUAGGCGCAGGAAAGGGUCGGCACUUUCUCGGUCACGUACAUUUUUUUUUUUUUGGUGCAUGCUCGUCUGCAGUUAUACUCAUGUUUGUUUUGUGCUGAUCGCAACCUAGCCAAAUGUGCCGGAAAACACAACAUGAUGGACUGAUAGAAGUCAAACCAUUGGGCUGGUAACAUUAUCCGGCAUCACCUAAGGGCACGGAUAAAUGUAGCAGUUUUGCAAAAAGCAAUGCAAUUCAGACGUACAUGUUCUACAAAUUGUUUUACGUACCAGUUCAUUGAAGCGACAAUUGCUAAAAUCAAUAAAGGUAUGGCACAUGACUGCGGACGAGCACGCAUCAAACAAACUAGUCCAUGCACGCGAACGUGACAGUUCAUUGGAGCGACGGUUGCUAAAAUCGUGGGAGCAGUUGCAAUCUAAAACAAACUAGUGAUAGGUAUGGAUUUUUUAAAGAUAUUUAUGUAAGAAUAUGAUUUUCCGUGUACUUUCGUUCUGAUGUAUACGCGCUUGGAACGUGCCAGAUACCAAUGCAAACGGAGUCAGAACGCUGAAAGCCCGUAUAAUACUAAACGGUGCAUGCACGCUAACACUGAAAAAUCCAAGAGCGGGGCGAGGCCACCUGAUGCAUGCAGUCGGAUGCAUGUGGUAGCACAUGCAGGACUCGCUCUAUUCCAUGCACGCGAUGCCCUGACGGAUAUAACACAUCCCCAAGCCAUGCAGCUUUCGCGCACAUAUUCAGUGUCCAUUAGUCAUUCAGGGAACCUGGCGCAUGCAUGCGACGCAGCCGACGGCCUCCUGCUUGUGUGUAUGUCUCAGCCUAGGCUAUGCCUUGUGCACGCAACGCGUGACCACCUGCACGGCACGGAUAUGGAAUAGUCAAUUCUUACCUUCUUGACCUCGAAUACAGUGCGCAGCAGUUUCUGUCCAUGCCUUGGCUAAGCAUGUCGGCGCUCACCACGGCGUCCACGGAGGUGCGUCAGGCCUUCUGAGCCAGAUCGGUAGAUGACGAGAGCUGCUGGCGAGAGUUGUAGCGAGGGGAUGGCUACUUGCUAUGUGGUGUGGUGGCACGGAGUGUUGAGUGAGGGGAGGGCUAUGGGGUGGUGCUUGUCGUUGGAGUGAUGGUCUGGCUAUGGGGUGGAAGUGGAACCCUGCAACUCUGUUCAAAGUCCCUGGAAUUCAUGCUGCUCCAAAGUCGAUGGACAGUCUGAAUGGUCAUGCACCUACUCCAUGUGCCUAAACAUUUUUUUAAUGAAGGGAUUCGCGCGCUCAUAUGAGCGUUCUCCGCCGGCAUGCACACCUCUGACAGGUAGAUAAAUAUGUUCUAACUUAAGCCGGUACAAAGAUCAGUACGUAAUUGUUCAUUUUAGUUAGCACCGCUCCCAUGGUAGGUAAUAUGUUUGUAGUGGUGCAUAGCCUGCAAUCGUUUUUCAGCCCCAAAAGGAUUAUGACCAGCCCCUGGUACACCAGUCAGCAUAUAAAUUUUGUACAGAUUGCAAAAGAAAAGGACGCCGGAAAAGAGUUUUCAUAUUUGCUGGCAUAAAUACUACUAGGCGGUGCACAAGUGCACAACGUGCAAUUUUUUCGAAAACAUACCACUUAGGACAUCUAUAAUGCCGACCCUCAAACUGCCCGCAUACGUCCGGGCCACGUGGUUCGGACGUGUUUUGCCAUCCAACAUGGUUCUGCAUCGGUCGGUUCAGUGGUUCGGAAGAACUUUUUCCCGGAAACCAGUGGCAAACUCAGGGGCCUUUGCGAGCGUCCGUACCACUGCCAUGCCCGUGUCUGGCAACCGUGGCCCAUCCAGAAACCCUCUUCCUGGUCCGUGUGCGUUCCUGCCGACGCUGGUGAGCACCUUUACAGAGCGUCAGCACCACAUUCAUGCCAGCCCAGACCGGACGCGACUUCUCACUGGAGCUAGCAUUGAAGCGGCGCGCCGCCCGAGAGCGUCGUUCGCGCCGCUUCCCGAUGCACACGACGUCUCCCUGCAUUCAAACGACACCAGUCCGUUCGCCUUCCUCCAUUAAAGGUGCCCGGUUGCUGAGAAACCUACUCCUACGCCACCCGUCUGUUUGUCUACUGCCCACCAUUAAGGACCUCUCCGCCUGGCCAUCCCUCUGCCUGCUAUUUAAACCCCAGACGGACAACACAGCCGCAUCCAUCCACCCUCUUCCACUCUCUAUCUCCACUCCGCACCACACCCGCCAUGGCUUCCUCGAGCUCCAAAGACUCGUGGGACGGUCUCUCAUCCGAACAGAAGGAGGAGAUCCCCGCCAUUGCGGCCGAUGGGCAAGAGCCGGCGCUACGGACACGCCAAUGGUAGAGGCGACCGACGACGAGCUGUUGCCACCAUCCGCAUCGACCAAUGCCGUCAUCACCAUGGGCGAGGCCCGUGCUCACUACACCGACAUGGCGCUAGAUGAGCAGGGGGGCGCGUUUUGGAAGGCGCAGGCCGAACAGACCUACAACCUCCGCCUCCUCGAUGAGCACCGGUGCACGGAGGAGCUACCCGGUGCCAGCGUGACCAUCGCACUGGACAUGGAAGUUGGCGAGCAGGAAGGAGCUGCCCCCAUUCCGUGAAUAAGCCUGUCAUCUCAAGGCCUAGGUUGCCAUUUCCAUCCACGGCCUCCUAAAGUGCACCACAUGGUUUCCUCUUCUGUAAACGUGAUCUCCAAUAAUGCAAGAAUUCGGAACCUUAUCCAUAUAGAAGUUCGGAUCUUGAUGCAAAUCAAGGGUUCCGAUAGCACACUCUGCUGCUAGUGUAGAUAGGAAAGCCGUCCUAUAUAUAUAUAUAUAUAUAUAUAUAUUCUUGGUUUACUUCCAUCAAACAUAAUAUAUAAAGGUUCUUCCUUGGAAUAUUUUUGUUCAACACAUUAAAAUAUUCUGCGAGACUACUGAUAUUAGACAACAUGUAUCCUUUCUCUUCUCUAUUCAUUGUGUGAUACCAAAGAUUAUCAUAUAAGCAUCCUUGGAUCUCAUCAAUACGGCUAUGACUCUUCGGUUUGAUAUUGAAUGUAUUUGGUAGAAAUAUUUUCAAUUUAUUAUCAUCUCCAAAUAUAAAGCAUUCACUUCCACCGCCGAGUGUUCCUUUCUUCAUUUCUGUAAAAUUUGUGAACGAGAAAAUAUGUCAGGUAAACUAUUAUCUUUUCCCUUAAUAUGGUCAAAUAUUAAUUUAUAUUCAUUCCCGACAAUAGUAUCUUCAAAUAAGACACAUCUUCUUGUCGAGUUUUUCUUACUAUUAAUUUUAUUGUAAUAUCGACAUAUAGCUUCAUAGUUUGUCCUUGAAUUCUCUGAAUACUAGAUAUAGCCUGUCAUUUAUUGCAUUUACUACUGCGAGGAUCUCGCUAUCAAUAUUGUUUACUAUUUUUUAAUUUAUAACUUCCUCGAGCAUAUACGCAUAAUUUUCUUCUGCUUUUGGGGAAUAUUUAUUAGGAUUUUGUUUUAGUAUAGCUCCCCAUCCCACCUUAGAUGCACCUAUUUCGAUUAUAAAGUAGUUGUUUUCUAAAGGAAGUUCUAGGGGUUUUAAAUUUCUGACUUUUUCCAUGAUGGCAUUUACUAGUUUUAUAUCUUCAGAAUUGAAAUAUCUUUGACCAUUUUUUCUUAAUUUAGGAUAUAAAGGUCCGGCUAUCUUUGCUAAGUUAUCUAUAAUUUUUCUUGCAUGUUUUACAAUUCCUAAGAAUUGUUGUAAAAUCUUUUUAUCACUCAUAUUUUCAGGAAACUCUAAUGUUUUCUUUGCAAUAUGUUCUUGUAAAUAUAUUUUUUUUCUUUUCCUAUUUCAUGACCAAGGAAAUUUAUUUUUUUCCUUGCAAAUUUCCAUCUUCGUUUUGGAUAAUAUGAGCCCAUUUUGUUCUAACUUACGAAAUAAUAAUUCAAGAUGGGAUGUAUGCUCUUUGUAUGACUUUGAGAUACUAAUAAAUCAUCUACAUAUACCAAUAUAAAUGCUUGAUUCUCAUCAAAUAUAUUUUGCAUUUUCCUUUGUAAUAGUGCAGGAGUAUUCGUUAGGCCCAAUGGCAUCACUAGCCAUUCACAAUGGCCUUGUGGACAAGUAAAUGUUGUCCAAGGGAUAAAUUCUUUAGCCAUUUUACUUGCCAAAAUCCCGCUUUUAAAUAAAAUUUAGAGAAAUAUUUGCUUCCUUGUAUUUUGUUAAUCUAGACCCUCUUAUUAAGUAUAUUGAAUGUGUCUUCUAUCGUAUUAUCAUUAAGCCUUUUCAAAUUAAUUACCAUUCUCGAUUUACCUCUUACAACUUUAGCAUGAUUUCUAACUAUAAAAGCAGCAGACCGAUAAGGGCUUCUGCUUUCUCUAAUUGCUUUUAAUUAGUAAAUCAUCAAUAUGCAGUUUGAACUCUUCAAAAUCUUUAGGAGUAGCUUAUAUUGGUCCUAACUUAAUUAUAUAAUCCGGGUUUAUGAUAUUAAUUUUGCAAACUAUAGAGUUCUUAUCCCAAUGUUACAUUGGUAUUUCCCCCAAUAAUUUGUAUAUUUUCUAGUCUUCGCACAGUCUUGUCUAUAUCUUUUUUGGAUUUUAUAUCUCUAUACCAACUUGGAGAGAAUGAUUGUAACCCUAUACAUUUUGUAUAUGUAUUUCUAUGUGAUAUUCUUCUAUGGUCUCACUAAGUUCUUCUUCUUUACAGAAAUCAAGGGGAUUUGAACUUGUGUUAUAUUCAACAUCUAAAUUAUAUAUUUCUACAUUUUGUAAAUCCUUUCUUUGUUUCUGUACUUCGGAUAUUUAUGGAACAUUAUCUUGAUAUGGAAUAAAUGUAACCCAUUCUUCAUGUAUAAUCAUGGUUUGUAAAGAUUGUUGUAAAAAUCUCAACCCUAUUACCAUAUCAUCAUUUAUUACUAACAAAUCUAUUAUUGUAUAUUUCAUGCCAUUUAUGUAAGCCUCAAUAUCAUAUGCCAAUUGGUUAUGGAUUUUCUUUAUUCCAGACAUAUCAUUAGAUACUUCGGCUUUAUUAUCAUCAAUGGUUUCUACUAGUUUGGGACAUCUCACAAAAUAUUUAUCAUGGAUUAUGUUCUUUGUGCAACCCAUAUCUAAUAGUGCCAAUAUUUUAUAGGAAAUAUUUUGCCUUAGAACUAUUCUAACUGGGAUCCUUAUCCCUAGCACUUCUUUGAAUGGUAAUCGAACGAUAUAUUUGUUUCCAAACUAGUUAUUGCAUCUUUUAAUUGUAUUAAUCUGUCUCCAUUUUUAUCUCUUACCGUUACCAUUUGCUCUUUCAUCUACAUGCUUUUAGCAACAUUAUCUUCUCGCUCUUUACUAAUCUCUAACUCAUCUUUUAGUUUUUCUCGCUCUUGCUUCUAGUUUAUUUAUUCUAUUUUAUGAGUUUCUAACCCUGCUAAUAGUAUUCUUUCUUCUGGUUCAAACUCUACGCGAUUAGACUAAUAUUCUACUCACUCUCCAAUAUUUAAUUCUUUAUUACUAUUUGCACAGUCUAUUCUUUAUUAAGCUGGUUAUAUCUUAUUCUACGAUCUAUUAGGGGCUGGUGAGGCCAACAGAACAACCGAUGGUGUGCACGCAGUGGUAUGAUGUCCUACUCAGUACUCAUCAUAUUUUUUAUUAUUAUGUUGUAUCAGAUGUAGCUAGUUUCAUUCACUUGAUGUUUUUAAAUACAAACUUACGUCUUCCCAGGCAAUUUCAUCCGAAAAAAACACUUCUCUACGGCCACAAAGUUCUCAUUCAAAUGCCACAAGACUAAACAAAGGACUACCGCCAGAGGUUUCUCCUAUCGGAUCCCUAGCAUAAGAACUCCCAUAAAUUCAUUAAAAAAUCAAAUGAAGUACGAAACUUCAUUUCCAUAACAUAAUUUACAUAUGGUUUUCCCUUUCGGGAGGCCCGGAAGGGAUUACACAAGCUAAAAGGAUACCUUAUUAUUCUUGGAGAUUACAGGCCUUCGAUAUGGUGGCUAUUCCACAAGUGGUGGUGGUACUAUUAGUAAGGUCAGAGUGCGCUGGAGGCUCUUCUAGCUCGAAGCUCUAGACUCCGUAUCGUCUGUGUCUUCUCACAGCGCUCAGCCCUCCUUUUUAUAGUGCGUGAGGGAUGCCACCGCUGAAGUGCCUCAAAAUUUGUACAAUCAGCCAUGCAUGACUCCCAUGCUAGACUGAUGUUUUUGUCCAAACUAAGAACUUUGUCUAGACUGGGAACUUUGUCAUGCACUGUUGUAUGCCUUGUAUCCAAGUGAGUAUAGAAUGAAUAAAGUUAUAACUCGCAGUAGAACAUGCAGAGUUGUUAAGUUUUAAAACAACAAGAGGGGUCAAAACCCUACCAAGUUAUUUCACCAGACUAGAUAACUCACCAAGUAUGAUUAAGUUCCUCUUGAGAAACAACUAGCACUUGCCAUUUACCAACCGCAAGCACUGGGGCCAGACAAUGCUGAGCGCAACUGAGGGGGUGCACGUUGAAAUUACUGAAACUCACAGGUUCCAGACCAAGGUGCAAUAUCACAGUAUCAAAACAUUUCACGAAAAGGAAAACAAGCGGCCCGUUCAAAUACAUUAAUAACACCAUCAAACAAAAUUUGACUCCGCUCCGCACAAGUGCAGAGUAAACCGAAGGUACAACCAUAUAGUUCAACAACAAUGUAGUCUAACAAACAAAGCGGAACACAGAGCAAAUGCCAGAUAAAAAUAAAAUUGCAAUAGAUAGUAGUAUCUCCAGCUGCCAGAUUGACACUGAAGCCUCCCCCGAUGCCCAGCACGAAAAAUGGCAGUGAUCCAAUAGUUCCUGCAUAAGGAUAAAAUGAAAGGGCUGAGCUUCAACCUUACAAUAAACAUGUGGAUGUAGCUCAAGCAAUACUUUACAAACUUCUCUAUAAGAUCCUAGAGUGCUUGCAUCACCAAUCACAAGUUUAUAAUGACGAUGCUUUUACAUAUCAAUUGAGGAAAUUACUAAUCCAAUUUGACAGUACAGUAUAAUCCAUAAACAGAAAUCUCAGCUAACUACACCGCAACCAAUUGACUACAAGAUCAGUGCUGGUUCUAACAUUUGCAUUCGGUUUACAAAAUCAGCAUAAUUUCAAGAUUAAUAACCCUAUCCAUAUGGGGAAAACAGAAAGAUUUGUUAACUAGGUGGAAGAAUAACCAAGUGAAAGCACAGUUUUCGUACCUGAUCGAGUGAUUGCAAGCAGCAACGUCCACAUUGACUGGUUUAUCGCCUCUGGGUCUUUCCAACUCCUCGUUUUCCAGAGAAGAGAUGCUUCGGUUUCAAGGUGGGGAUGACGCGAUCCGCCUCUCCACGGCGAGCCUCCUUGUUCCUGUUCUUGACAGAGUCCCUCGAUUUCUUGAUGGCCUUCUUCUUUUGAGCAACGUCCCGGAUCCCGUCACCUGGUACGACCUCUUCAAUUGGUCGUGAUUUGGACCUAGACCUCGACCUCGUACGCAGCUUCUUGUCGGAGUGCUGGCCAUCAACGUCCAUAGCGUCGUCACCAUCAGCUCUGCUCAGUGACCUCUCACGCUUACGGCCUCUUGACUGGCUGCGAAGUCGGUUCACAGCCGCGGUAGGAUCAACGCCCAUGGAUGUGAGUUGCCUGCCCAGUCUCUUGGUUGUGAACUUCCUAUCCUUGUCAUGCUUCCUUGGAACAAUAGGACGGCUCUCUGCAGUACUCUUCUUCAUCCUAUGCUCUUGGAUGAGCAUUGCCUUCUUCCUCCUAAUCUUACCCAAUAUCUCUCGCUGUUCUUCAGUUAAUUCAUCAUGGCCAUCAAUCAUGAAAGCAUCCUGAGCAGCCUCUUCUUCAAGACGAAGACCCUCCUCCCUUUCCAGCUCCUCACACCUUUCCAAGAUAUCCGGAUCCAGGAAAUCAGCAACAUUAUGGCCAUCCAAUAUCUCAGGGAGAAUAUCUUCCUUCCAUUCAUCAUCAGCCAACAAGUAAUGCUUCUUGAGACUGGCGGAAUAGACACCAGCACCUCCAUUCUCAUUCUCAAGGUCCCUCUCAAGUUUCUUCUUUUCCUUUGCAGCAGCAAUCGCUUGAGCUUCAAGAACAGCCUGAGGAAUACAAGUAGGCCUAUCUCUGUUGUCACGAGGCUUGGGCAUAGCAACAUGAAACCUGUUUAUGCAGUCAUUGAUCUUCUUUGACUUCAUCUUGAUCUCCACCCUCUGCUCAAGAAGCCUCUCACAUGCAGCAUUUUUAACAGCCAUCACACCCUCAUCUGUUAAAGCACUCAUAGUCAACAAAACACCCUCUUCACUAGGAUCUCCACCUUGAGGUAUAGUCUUCAUAGCCUCUGACUUCAUCUCCAUCACCAGCUUCAUGUCCUCUUCAGAAAGCCCGUCAAGCGGCUGCAAAUCAGUCUUGUUGCACACAAUGACCAGAGGCUUAUUCAUGAACAAGGAUUUAAUACUGUGGAAGAGUGCAGCUUGCUGAGCAAUAGUGUACCCACAAGAACCAGAGAUGUCCAAGAAGAACAGCACAGCAGCCCUCAAGUGAGCAACAGCGGUGAUACUGCACAUCUCUAUGAUGUUCCUGUCCUCAAAAGGACGAUCAAGGAUCCCUGGAGUGUCAAUCACUUGGUACCGCAGAUACUUGUAAUCUGCAUGGCCAACAAAAAGGGAUUUUGUUGUGAAAGCAUAAGGCUGUACGUCCACAUCAGCCCUCGUAACCUUGUUCAUGAAAGAGCUCUUCCCAACAUUUGGAUACCCACAAAUCAAGAUAGUAGGGUGUUUGGGUCAAUUGAUGGGAGCCUGGCCAUGUGCUGCCUGAUCUGCUCCAGGUAUGCCAAACUAGGACUGAUACGCUUUAGAACAGUACACAUGCGACCUAGUGCAGCUACCUUCAGGCACUUGCACCGGUACAGGGUGUCUCCAUACUUGAGCAGCCUCAGAUAGUCCUUGGAGAUCUUUGCAAUGAUAUUUCUAGCUGUAUUGAUCUGACCCAAGGCAAGUUUGUAGUGAUCCUUGUUGUAGAGCACAUGAAGGAGAUCGCCAUAGAAAGGGUGGAUGUCAUCCAGUCUGGGGAACUCAUCGAUGAUGGUGGACAGCUUUUCAUAGAAGUUCUGCUGGGUAUAGCGAACCUUGCGCAUAUAGAACUGGCGAAUGCGGUUGAUAGCAUAGCCCUUGUGGACAACAGUUGGUGUUUGCCUCUGAGUGCGGGACAAGAUUAUGUCAAUGAAGUCCUUCCCAGGAGGGACAACAGUGAUUUUCUUGAAAUUAUACUGCACCAUCUUGCCGAUGUAAAGCUUGGCUACUUAUUCCUGUGAUACAAACAAAUGUCAUGUCAAUCCUAUGUAGAUAAACAGGUGAAAAAACCAAUGCGGAAAAACGGGUACAAGCAAAUGCAAGAAAUCACAAUUUCCAAAAAACAUAGCCAGGGAGAAAUCUAGCAAGCACCGCAUAAAAAACAUCUAUCUAAAAUCAUGUGAAGACUAUAGAUUCAUGUCCAUCAUUAUCAGUGCAUCCUAUUUACACACAAGGAAACCUUUGAUUUAUAAAAUACAUAAGACAAAAGGGCCAGGAGAAUAAGUCAGGACCUUAAACAUGCACACCGUUCUUAUAUGAAAGAAAAAAAGAACAUCUACACACCUAGAUACCAGCAAGUCAAGGUCCGGUUUCUUUUUCAGUAGCUAAAAAUAGUUGAACCACUAGUAUGGUCAACUGGUUGCAUCAGACCAGAACACUAACUCAGGAUCUGAAACACUCACACCAUUCUUACAUGGUGGAAACAUCCUCUCAUAGGAGGAAGUGCAACAGCAACACAUGCAUGCUUUUCAUUCUCAUCGCGUCAAAUACUUGAUGGAUUUUACAAAAUUACCACAAAUAAAAGCAGGAAGACAGCAGCAGUAGUUCCAACUACUGACAAAAUACCACGCCAGGUGUCUAAAUCGGCUGCAGCUAAACUAGCCGGCAGCCUUGAAUCAAUCAUAAUAAUAUCAAAUUCGAAAACUACUAAUCAACCAUCCCCUAUCUUCUGCAUCAAAUCAGCCAACCCUUAUUGAGCCGCUUGUUACAAAUCCUACAGUCAGAUACGAGACAUAGCGCAAAACAGAAGCAAUUGCUCUAUUCGCAAACUCUUGAGAGAUUCAACCAGGGACGAGCAUGGGCAUGUUGAACCAAGUCCACAAAUCUACACAAGUAAAGUCCACAUCCGCAGACAUCCGCGAGGAUCAUCACGGGUACACGGCUAUGCGAGAUGGUCGGCACGCAGGGACGGAAGCGGAGAGCGGAGGGGAAAGUCGGCGGCUACUUACGGCGUGAGGCGGCGGCGGCGGGACGUAGGUUUCGCCUCGGUGGAGGCGGCGGGCGUCCGGCGGCGGACGGAGUGGGGAGGAGGAAAGAGGAGGGUUUAGGGAAGGGUUUCCUCCGGGCUCUUAUGUGCUAGCUAAGCUAACGGGCUUUCCUCUCGGCCCAUCUAACGGCCAUUCUCCAGCCCACUUACCUACGGCCCACGGUACUGGAGGCGGCGGUGGUUCGAGAAUCGACCACGGCUCAGCCAGCCUCCUCCACCACACCCGCCGCCUACCUCCCCCCUUCCCGCCGCCGUGGAAGGAGACCGGCGGCUGGCUCCCACCGCUUCCGCGAGGUUCGUCUCCUCCGCCGCUCCUGAUUUUCCCUUGAUCCAUCGCUCCCGCUGCUAGACUGUCUCUCUUGCUUCUGCGUGGUGAUUCUUUGGGCCUGCAGCCCGGCGUUUGUGGUGCUGAUUCGUGGUUUCUUGAAUUGUUCCUCUAGGGUUCGGAGGCAGUAGGCUCCGCUGCUGCCAUGCUCUCCAGGAUCUCUCAACUCGGGGCGCGGCUCGUGCGCGAGACCAGAGCUGGUUGGUGUCUCUCCACCCCUUCCUGCUACACUACAUCUGUUACAUUAGGAAUUAGGAGAAAAUGGUUGUGCUUGGACCUAAUUAGGAAUGUCCGAAGAACGUGAAUUUGUAUAAAUGUGAUGCAUACGUGAAGCACGCUGCGCUUGGACCCAAUUCUUUGUGGCUACCAUUGUAAUGAGAUAGCCACUGUUUAUGUUAGAUUCCUGAGUUGGGAGUCAUAUUCUUUAUUUUAUUUUGUCACUGAAGAGAGAGCUUUGUUUCAUUGAAGCCAUAAGGUUCUUAGAAUCUUCAGAAACCAAUGCCCGACAUUGGUCAGGAGUAGAAUUAAGCCAGAACCCUACCAAACCAAUAAUUCUAGCGUUCAGCGCUAAUUCAUGGCCAACUUUAUUAAACUCUCUCUUCGCUCACACAAACUGGAUGUCUGCAACUUGACUCCGAACACUUAUGAUUUUGUUGAUAAGCCCGCAUUUUCUGGGCCUGUUGCUCCCUUUAGCAUUCAUAGGCACAAUAAGUUUCACUGGAAAAGGGGCCCUGGCAUCAGGUAUUAGCAACUACAAUUCCUUCUUUGGUAGCUAACAGCUCAGAUUUUCUGCAUCCGAGCAAGUAACAGAAGAGCUGCACAAAGAGAACAGAACAGUCAGACCUUCUAGCCGCAAAACCAAUGCUAGCUUCACCUGUCGCUGGAGAGAAGGAUCCGUCUACAUUAGUUUUCGUCCAGCCGGAUAAUGGCGCCAACCAACACAACAUCUCACUGGGUUCAUUUCGGCUGUACACGUCCUCUGCUGGUGUCAGUGUACUAAUUCCAGGCUCAAACAUCGACUGUUCAUUUUGCCUUUAUAGUCACCCAGCAGCUUUAAGCUGCACAUAUUGAGACUAGCUAUAUAGUUUUGGAGAAAAAUAACUGAAUCUUUUAUGCGAGGACAUAUUGAGACUAGCUAUAUAGUUUUGAAGAAAAAUAACUGAAUCUUUUAUGCGAGCUUCUCUUUUAUUGUGGAUUAAAUCGUUUGUCAGGUGCCACGCUCUCCACAAAAGAAGGAGGACCAGCCCCCUGGUCUCCUUACUCAGAUUUGCAAUCAAGAUCAGCAGCAAUCUUUUCCUGUAUAAGCAAACUGAGAUUCUUCAGGAAUAUCCCACACCUUUUUAACUUCCAUACGAAGAGCUCUUGCCUUUGUACAGUUAACCACUGCAUGGACUAUUAACCUCCAGGGUAUGUUUCAGUUUGUUUCUCUUAGUAGCCAAGUUAUCAGCAGCUAAGCGCCAGACGAAAGCAUGAACUUUAUUAGGCAUAGGGGCAGACCGAAUAUUACGCCAAAUAGGUCUAGAACAGUCACCUGCUCUACUCGCACCCUCCUGCACAGGACUCUCAACAGUGUGGUUAUAAGCCAGUUUAUAAGCACUUUUGACGGAGAGCAUACCAUUUUUCUCAUAGUUCCAGGCUAUGAAAUCUUCAAAUUUAUACUCGAAGAGGUGAAUAUUCAGGAUUUGAUCAGUGUCGUGUAGGAGAAAAGUUCUUGCAAUCAGUUGAGUGUUCCACUCUUUUCUUCCUGGGAUCAACAGUUGUUUGACUCAAGAUAAUCUUAAACUUCCCCUUUCUGAACUGAUCUUUAGGUUAGGAUUCCUUGGCAGCCAAUUGUCCCUCCAAAUAUGAGCUUUACUUCCAUCCCUAAUCCUCCAGAUAAUUGCCUUUUUAAGAGGGUCGAGGCCAUGUUCAAUUCCCCUUCAGCCAGGCGAUGCAUCAUUUUUGAAAACUGUAUCAAUGAGGUUCCUCUUGGGUAGUAUAUGAUCUUGAGGAGUCUUUCACAUAAAGUGUUUGGGAAAGUGAGAAGACACCAGGCUUGUCUAGCGAGCAAAGCCUGGUUAAAAAGCAUCGAGUCUCUGAAUCCAACACCUCCUUGAACUUUUGGUUUAGUGAGGUUUUCCCAAGCAGUUCAAUGAAUCCUCUUUUGAUCCUGGUUUUCAGCCCACCAAAACUGUCUCGUCAUGUUUCUUGAUUGCUUAUUUUGAGAAACCUUCCGGGUUUACACAUGCCUAGUUUGGUGAAGGUAUUAUUUGGUUCUGCAUUCUCAAAUCGUUGACUUCUUGCAGCAGGAAACUUGUCAAGCCAUAGCAGCAAUUACUACCGAGGUCUCAGCCGGCAUUCAGCCCCAGCGGUUAGUCCUUUUGUACUGUUAUAAUCUCUGUUUUUGAGUCGCCGAUUAGUCGCCGACUAAUCGCCGAUUAGUCGCCGACUAAUCGCCAAGUCGUCGCGGCGUGGCUGGCUCGCGCAGGUGACUUGACUCAGGGAGCAAGUCGCGCGACUCGCGUGGCUCGCCGGUGACUUGGGGCGAUUAGUCGCACGACUCGCUGGCUCGCGUGGCUUGCUGCUGUUGUAUAUGUGAUCAUGUGGGGACUGCGGAAGGAGGAGGACCGAAGGAAAGAGAGCACAGGGUGGGCCAUAUAUGUGCUCUGCUUAGAUAUAGUAUAUGAAAGAGAGCGCAGGGUGGGCUCUAUAUGUGCUCUGCUUAGAUGUAGUAUAUUUUCUCUGUUGUAUAUGUGCUCUUCUGCUGCUGUAUAUCUAUGUGCUCUGCGGCUCUAUGUACUGUUGUGCCAUGGCGACUUGGGGCGACUAAUCAAGCCAAGUCGCUGACUCAAGCCAGCAAGCCACUACCCGCAGCCUCGGCGACUUGGCUUGACUUGGCGACUCAAAAACCUUGGUUAUAAUCGUUGUGAUUGCUAGUAUAGAACAUGUUAUUGCCUAUUGCCUUCUGUUCCUGCUGCGGCCGAGAAUAUAACCAAAGCAUCAAUAGAAUUGUUUUUCUAUACAUGAUGCACACAGUACUUUGUGUUUCAGAUUCAUUUUGAAGUUUUUUCAAAAAGUAAAGAUUUUCUUUUCUCUACCUCUAUAUCGUUUUGCCGCCUCCACAUAUGUGCAAGCAAACAUUGCCUUCUGCUUGUUAAAAAAAAACCUUCUGGUGAAAUCUGUUUGUGUGUACAGAAGUGAUGAUUUAUCAUUUGCACUGGUCUUUGUUUUUCAGAAGAGCAUCCUCUUCUCCACCGCAACAACAAGUAGUCAUCAUGAUGAAGGCGGUGACGACAAGGAGAAGUGAGUGUGUUUGUCUUCUUCCAUUUUUUUGUGCAGCAUGAAAUUUAAACACCUAGGCAUCUUUGUAUCUUUGGAGUAAGCAGUAUAUUAGUCCAGACCAUUUCCUAAUUUUAUUUUUCUUUGUUAACAUUUAUCGCCUUCUGAUGGGCUGCUCCUUCCACAUGUUGAGGAAAUAGCGUGAUCGGUUUUACUGAAUGUUAGUAUUCAGCUUUGAGAAAUAUUUGACAUGGAGUAAAGAACUGGUCUUCUGACAAGAGCAAUUUUCUCUUCCAUGUGCAGAAUCUCUGUAACAUUUGUGAACAAGGAUGGCACUGAGAAAACGAUAAGUGUUCCUGUCGGAAUGUCCAUGUUAGAAGCUGCUCAUGAAAAUGACAUAGAACUUGAAGGUUUUUAAACUAUCUGUCUAUUCACCUCACACCCCAUCACAUGCACUGUCUGUUACAUCAUGUUACUAUCUUUGAUCACUUUUUAAAUAGGCAUAUUAAUGUGUCCUUUUAAGAUCUUGUCAGCUGAUUUCAGUUGUAGGUGAUAACCUUGCCUAGUAUUUUGGAUUUUUGGUUACUGCAGGAGCAUGUGAAGGGUCGCUCGCAUGUUCCACUUGUCAUGUCAUAGUUAUGGUAUGUUGUAGAUAUAACCCAUGCUGUUUUUUAAUCUUCAGUUAUAGAAGCUGAAAGUUCUUCUGACUAGCAAAUUGAAUCUUAUCCAGGAUGUAAAGGACUAUAACAAGCUAGAGGAUCCAACAGAUGAGGAAAAUGAUAUGCUUGACCUUGCAUUUGGGCUGACAGAAACGUAAGUGGAUAUCUAUCUGCUAAAGGAUUCUUUUUUGUUUAUCCAUCUUUUAUGAACCCCUCAAGUUUGGUAGUAUCUAUGUGUCAUACAAACAAGCAUAUCGAAAUAUCUUAAAAUCUACCCCCUCCGUCCCAUAAUAUAAGAUCGUUUUGCAAGUUUAUAUUAUGGGAUGGAGGGAGUACUUAUUCAUUGCGCCAUUGUGAAAAAAAUCCUUCCAGCAUCUAUAUAUGCAACCUUUAGGAACCAUAUAAGUAGUGCUACAGUGUCAACCAGGAGGUUCAGGGUUUGGAGGAAACCAAAGUGUAGGACUCAAAAGUAGUACAGGAGUAUGAUAGGAUAGCACUUGCCAUCCUCGGGAAUUGCAUUGCCUCAUUCCUACGCAAAAAAUGAGCUUUGAGGGGAUGUGUAGUUUCCUCCAAAAACACAGGAAAUUAAUAGUAUUCCUAAGGAAUACUGCACCCGUUUCCUACAAACCCAAUGCAUUUAAUGGAAGUUUUCCUCUGGAAUCCCCGUUCCUAUGUUUUGCCUAUGAGAAUCCUUCAAACCGAAUGAGGCCUUGUAUUAGGCUAUUAGCGAUGAACGGAAAUCAGAUAGAACUAAUUGAUAGAAUAGCUAAUUAUGCUAUCCCACAUGGCCAUACAGGUAGGCUGUAGAUGUAUAAACGCCAUUGUGGCUUUGUACUAUAGUAUUACUUCCUAAAAGAAAAUUGUUAAUUGUUAUAUGUUAAAUGUUAGGAUCAAGAAUAAUCUGUUAAAUAACCUUUUUCAGGUCCCGUCUUGGCUGCCAAGUAAUAGCGAAGCCCGAACUUGACGGCGUCCGACUGGCGUUACCUGCCGCUACACGAAACUUCGCGGUAGAUGGGUUCGUGCCAAAGCCACACUGAAGACAGCCAUCAGUUUUGUACCUUAGCAUCAUCAUGUAACUUCACUACGGUAUCGUCCCUGAGAGCCCCCGUGCCCUCGGACUUGGAUCUGUUCUCAUUUUAUGAGCUCCUUGGUCAGUGCAAGAUCAUCAGUGUUGUACACUGGCAGUGGGUGAAUACUGAAUAAACAAGUUGUGUUUGUGACACCCCAUGGGCGAUAUUAUUUGGAGGACAGGGAAUAAAAGCUUGUUCCAGAGGUUUUGGGGAGUGGAUCUUGUUUUGUGUCUACUGCGUUGUUGUUGUGUUUAGUGUUGUUAGUUGCUCCCUUUGUUCACAAAGUUAAUCAGCGACAGUUAAUAUGAGGGAGCAGCUUUUUUUCUGAAUCAGAUGUGUAUAGACGUGUUUUUGUGUGUUUGUUCACUCAUUUCAGUCUGUAUGCAGUCCAUAUUGAAAUACAUAAAACAACUUAUAAUUGUGAAGGUGUAGGUUUUUGUGGAGAGAAACCUGUUGGAUAAAUUAUGACUGUCGAGUCUGCCUGCUGAGGAGUACUGUUCAGACAAAGAAGAGCCAUGAUUAUGUGCUGCCAAGCACCGACCACAACCACUACGCCACUGCAGCAGAGCCGCAAAACCGAUCCACGCUACACAGGCGGCGAGACGAGAUCCGACCACCAACCGUCCGUCCGUCCUGGGCCAUUCAUGCAAGGAGUAAAACAUUGUCCAAGACGACAAAAAAAACAUAAUUAUACAAACAGAAAUGUCGGCCACUCCGGUAAUUCUUCCAGCCCGGCAACAUACACACCUUCUCUAACCACUUUGAAGGCUAGAUUAGCAGAAACACUACGCUACAUUCCUUUUGCAAAAAAUGCCACGAUUUGUGUAAUCGUUUUGCAAAAAACACUGAUCGACGGAUUUGGCUCUAUUGAUCGCGUUUAUGAUAGAUGGAGCCCACUAGUCAGACUGACAUGGCACUGCUUAAUGUCUCAUAUGUAACGGCGGCGUUUGGUAAUGUUAUCAUCAUGUGGGGUUCACCUGUCAUUGAAAGAAAAAAGCAUAUGUUUGUUUUUGCUCGCCGUGCAGCGGCAACAACGCCUGAGGAAAAGUGCAGCUCGUCCCCCGAGCUAUUCUCCCGCGCGCCUCCUCCUCCCUCUGACCGAGUGCUGCCCAUCCCCGAGAACGCCCGGGCAUCCUCGUCGUCGGCGACCUGCGCCAAAUCCGUCGAUCAGUGUUUUUUGCAAAUAGAUUAUACAAGAGUGUUUUUUUCUGCUAACCUAGCCAUCAAAAUGAUGGUUUCUUGCAAUUUACUCGAUGGAGCUGUUCGUCCAGUCAAACAACAGCCACCAUUACAUGAUGCUGGCACGAGGUAAUCAAAGCUGCCCCAGCACACUCAAAACGCGCCCAGUACAACCACCGUAGCACUACACUAGAGCCACAAACACCGCAGCUCGUUCGACUCAGUCAAGGCAUGGUGGGCGAGCAUGAGCGCCGUGGGCACCACCAACCGAAAAGUGAAGGCCUCGAUCACCAUGCUUGUCUCGUGGGUCAUUUGGAAUGAGAGAAACGCAAGAGUGUUUCGGCAUAAGAGCGCUCCUCCGCCAACUUUACUCAACACCAUCGUCGACGAGGCAAACCUUUGGAUAAACCGUUGUAACAAACUCUUCUCUCCUUAUUUAAUAUAUGAGAUCGUUUGCCUCCGUUUAAAAAAAAAAACACCGCAGCUGCGAGACCGAUCUACACAGGCGGCGAGAUCCGACCACCAACCGUCCGUCCGUCCUGGGCCAUUCACGCAGGGUUUAAAACACCACUGGCGGAAAGGCGCCCGGCCGUCCCCGAGCCGAGCCAGGACAAGCCGCCGCGCGAACGAGCCAACGAAUGGGCGCCGCGGUAGGUGCAACGGGCAUACGGAUCGUGCGUCUGAAUGUCCGGUGGCGGCUCAGCUACUGCUGCCAUUACCACCAUCAGCCUCAGCUUGACGUACUGCUGCCAUUACCACCAUCAGCCUCAGCUUGACGUACGGUUACGUGCACCGUGCGCCGGUCAUCCGGAUCGGAGAGGCAUGUGGCGUUCACAGAGUCCUGUCCUCUCCUGACACGCUGUCGUGUGGUGAAUUUGUUGGUGACUGGCUGGUUGCUUGAUUGAUCACUCUGUCUGCUGCUGCUGCUGCUGCUGUUUUGCUAGUGGAGAGUGCCAAGAAAGAAAGCGCCUUCUGGAAGGGUGCAGAGGUAGGUGAGGCACAUCAUCACAUGUUGGGGUGGACUUGCGUGUCGUGCCCAGCUGAGCCAGAGAUCCUGUCGUCCCGAGUGAUUGGCAAGAAACGUCACGUCCAAACCAUUUUGUCAACAUGAAAUCAACUGCAGCCAUGGAGGAAAAUAAGCUUUUUUUGCUUCACCGUGCUCAUCAACGUCGUCUCUUGAUUCAUGUCACUAGUGGUUGCUCUGUUACUGCCAGUGGUAACUACUAGCAUUUGCAGGGCCACAGGUGUUGGAAAUCGCAAGGCGUCGACAGCAUUCAGCAGAGGAGCUCGACACGAGUUGCAAGCAAUAACUGAUUGGAUCAAAACAUUGUAUGUGCACAGUACAUCGGCUAUCUAUAAUUAAGCUACGGAAACAUUUUGCUUCCACCUAAAAGAUUACAAUUUAUUGCCAGUUUCGUCAUCUAAAAUCGAGGGCGAUGGCGCUACAGUCGUCUCUAGUGAUCAGAAGCUCGAGACGGUGCCAGCUCUACCGCUCCGUCUCCGGCUCGCCGCAGCCGCGGCCACGAAGCUCCUAUCGGCGCCUUGAUCCCACAGCCGCACCACGCUGCCGCUGAGCGCCCUUGGGCUCAGGUACCGGCCAGUCUCAGCAGCCGUCGCCGGCAUGAGAGGCAGCAGAGGCCUCACCACCUCCCAUUCGAAAGGAUCCGCCUGCUCGGGCGGCCCGUACACGCCGUAGUCAUCUUCCGGAUCCCGAUCCUCCUCCUCCUCCUCCUCGUCGCUCUCCACGUCGCAGCAUCCGACGCAGCCGGUGUCGUGGUAGUACGCCGUGUACCGCUCCCUCGGCGACAGCGCCGGCAGCGACGUCGACAUCGUCGCCUCAGACGAUCUCCCUAGCGAUCUCUCCGUCUCCGAAGACACCAUCAUCGACGGGGAAGUAUCUAGCUCCACGAAAGGCUUGGACACAUCAUCCGAGAUCACAGCGGACGGCGCCGUGGAGGAGCGCAGGCGCCAUACGCCGGCGGCCGCGGCCGCGGCGAGGACGGCGGCGAGGCAGGUCCACGCUGCGGCGCCCGCCGCGGCGGCCUCGGGGAGGGAGUGGAUGCGGAAGGCGACGGCCUCGAGGGGCUGCUCCAGGAUGUCCAUAUCGAACUCUCGACCGCCGAUCGCCGGCGUUUCUUGGCUUCGUCACCUCGUGGCUGCUCUGUUUGCGUCUGGGGGAGGGGAGGGAGCGAGUGAGCGGGGUGGGCAGGAAGGUGGGAGGCGGAGGGAGGUAUUUAAUGGCGGGUGGGGAGGCGGAGGGUGGGUGAUUAAAUCUGGGCCGCUGGAUGGGGAGGCCAAGGUGCGGAUCGGCGGAAGAUGCUAGGGAUCGGCGGGGAGGGAUUCGGGGAGAUGCCGCGCCGGAUGCCGGAUUUUCCACCUUGUUUUCCUUCUUAAUAAUUUGGUGGUGUUAUUACUGUUCCUCCUACUGCAGUUGCAAGGUGUGGGGUGGAGGUAUAUGCUACGUCCACAAAAGUCUCGGUUAUUCAUAUGUUUUCCAUGUCUUUUUUACCCUGUUUUCUAUUUUAUGGCGGACUGAGCUUNNNNNNNNNNNNNNNNNNNNNNNNNNNNNNNNNNNNNNNNNNNNNNNNNNNNNNNNNNNNNNNNNNNNNNNNNNNNNNNNNNNNNNNNNNNNNNNNNNNNNNNNNNNNNNNNNNNNNNNNNNNNNNNNNNNNNNNNNNNNNNNNNNNNNNNNNNNNNNNNNNNNNNNNNNNNNNNNNNNNNNNNNNNNNNNNNNNNNNNNNNNNNNNNNNNNNNNNNNNNNNNNNNNNNNNNNNNNNNNNNNNNNNNNNNNNNNNNNNNNNNNNNNNNNNNNNNNNNNNNNNNNNNNNNNNNNNNNNNNNNNNNNNNNNNNNNNNNNNNNNNNNNNNNNNNNNNNNNNNNNNNNNNNNNNNNNNNNNNNNNNNNNNNNNNNNNNNNNNNNNNNNNNNNNNNNNNNNNNNNNNNNNNNNNNNNNNNNNNNNNNNNNNNNNNNNNNNNNNNNNNNNNNNNNNNNNNNNNNNNNNNNNNNNNNNNUCUGAGGCGGCGGCCUCGCUGGUGCGAACGGCGCUCCUCCGGCGGCGGGGAGUGCUCGUCGGUGAGGUAGGCCGGAUCUCCUCGGCUGCGCGGGCAGCGAGGUCCCGGUGGGCGCUGGUCAUGGCGCGGGGAGGCCCCGGGCUCCCCUCAUCAGAUCGGAGGCGAUCUGGUCCGCUCGUGAUGCAUGACCUCCGGCCGGCCUGGAUCUCCAGCGUGCACGCGCCUGCUGACGUUGUGGCUGGUUCGGAGGUGGCGGCAGGGUGCUUGGCCGGGGGAAACCCUUGGCCGCCGGUGGCGGUCACGGCGUCGAUGGCGUCCCGGACGCCAUUCCCUCCUUGGUGGCGGCGCCGAGGCUAAACCUCCCCUGCCUCCCCCCUUCCCCUGCGCCCGGGUGAAAACCCUAGCCCCGGUGGUUAAGCGGCGGCGGCGCCACAGUGUCGUCACCUUCUUGAAGGCGCCGACUUGGGCAUGGGGAUGCUGGGCGUGCAUGGCGAGCUUGUCUGGAUCCUGGUGGCGGCCCGUCUGAUCUACCGCAUCGCAGCUCCGGCAUGUCUCGUGAUUGCGGUGCUUAUCUUCUGGCCGUGUCUCCGACGGCGACCUCGCCCUUCCUCACCUUGUACUUGCCGUGGUGGAGCGGUACUUCAUCUCACUCAUUGAUGGCGGCGGAGAUCGGCGGCAUGGCGCUGUGGAGGCUCGGCGUCCGAUGCGCGGAGAUGGACUCGCGCAGGAGGAGGUAGCUGUCUGGCGUCAUGGUGACGUCGAUGGCAGAAGUGGCCUUCACAAGGUAGAAGACUCAAUAUAAUCUGAAGACGGACCGGUGGAAGAUGGUGGCGACGACACAAGAGUGCGUCUGACCGGAUUGUGCCCCAGACCCGGUAUGUGGCUCGGCUGGGGCUUCCGGCUUUUGAUGUUAGGUUUAGGUGAGUGGUUUGGGUAUGUGGCCCAGCUAGCAUCCCUUCAUCAUAUGGAUAAGAGUAGCGGCAUAUGUUGCCAAGAUGGUGGAUUCAGGUAUAUUGUUUAUAAUACUUUGUAAGGUCCUCGAGAAUAAUUAAUAAAGUGGCCGUAUGCAUCUCCCAGAUGCAGAGGCCGGGGCCAUCCUCCUUUUCUAAAUAUUUUUUUAUGGCGGACUAAGUCUCAAUGUGACGGACUAAGUCUAACUCGGAUGGUUAGCUAUUUUAUGGUGGAACCAGCCCAUUAGGUUUAAGUCCUAAGCUCGACAGUGCUGCUCGUAUUUUUCUGGAUUUAUUUCAGGCUUUCGGGUGAUGCUCGUUCACUGGGAGGUGACGUACCGGUCGGCUACGGAAGCGCCUAUGGUGAGUUCGUAAAUCUCAAGAUUAUAUAUCGGUUUAGUCUCCCGUAGGUGCCCAUAAAGAUAGGGUGUGUGCGCGUGCGUUUAUAGGGAUUAGUGUAUGUGUUGUAUGAACGUUUGCGUUUGUACUGUAUUAAAACAAACAAAUUACACUGUGUACAAGGGGUCACUCCAAGAGAUCCUGGAGGUCCCCGUGCCCAAACCUACUAGUAGCCCAUCAUUGGGCUCCGCCACGGAAUAUGCACCAUCAGAGAAGGACGCGAGCAUCCGCCACACUGAAAGAGCUCUGUUGCAAAGCAUGCUGCCUAUUGAUCGAGCUGAUUAACAACUUGUUGUAUGCGACAUAGCUGAGUCUUUGUGACUCGUCAGUCGGGGAUCGUCCCCGAAUCCACCAGAUCCUGGUGCUGCAAUCUUCAUCCAACAUGGUCUGAAAAGACACCAUCGGUGCGUCACACUCCAAAACACCAACACACUCUGCACAAGCUAUAUAUGUUGUUGCCCGAGGAUGUAGAACAUCAGCCACCACAACUUAACAUCACUAGAACAUAGCCCAACGAGACAGAAUGGCUAUUUGUUUCUCGACGCCGCUGAUUUCGAGUGUCAUCAUGGUCUGAGAGAAGUAGAGCCAUCUUAUUCUGACGCGGUGCCGAUCCCACCGUCGAUGAAACACCUCUAGGGACUAAGCCUAUCCUAUCUACUCGUCAGAGCGAAAUUGUCGAGACCCAACCUCGUUGUUAGAGGGAGGGUGACGAACACUUCCCGAAUUACCAGUACAAAGUUGUUGGCAAACACAUCAGAACUACACUUUUUUUUUUGUUAUGCAAGAGAGGAGAUGCAUAUACGUGAGCGGGCGAAUUUAUUUUUCCAAAUGAGUUGGACAAUUAUUUGUUAUGUUUUUUUCAUCGACGAUCCACAUGUACUCUUUGUUUAUCAGCUAGCUUGAAAUUUUAAAGCAGCACAAGGUACUCAUGUUCUAGAUAAUUAAGCAUUACCUUUAAUAAAGAAUACAAGAUAUUAAUAGGGUGAUGUUCUAUUGCUAUGCACAAGUCCAAGCUCAAACACAUCAUGAGAUGUGAGCUAUGAAAAAAAACAAACCAACAUUGAAUAUGCGGAACAAUAACGUCACUAUUCACUACUGAAUCUGUUUUUCUUUCGAUAUCUUUGGUCAGAAAGAAAAUCGGCAUUUUGAGAAAGGCUCACGGUUUUCUAUUUUGGAGCAAUGAUGUCGUUUUCCCUGUCCCAAGCUCCUCCGACGUCAAAUCGCCAUGAAAUUUUGCACGCCUUUAGAAAAUUCGUUUGUCUUUGAUGUGCGAAAUAUUCAGAUUCGUUUCUUUUUUCGACGUUGCUGUUCAUUCGAAGCAUCUGUGCCCAUGAUCAGCUAUGGAUUACCGCUAAAACUGAGCCUGACAAGUUGUAGCCAGAGUUGAAGACAGUACUAAAACGAAUCGCGCCUAGCGGUAUCGCCCCGCCCAUGCGAGCCGGUCCGGUCGGGACGGUGGGGGGGCCUUUCGGCUUGGCGAUAGGACGAGCCGUUGCACACCCGGUUGCCGCCCGGUGACCAGUAGCCACCGGACCAGUGAGCGCCGAGCGCAUGGCCGGCCACCUGGUCCACGAGGGCUUGUCAUUAGCUUAUCAUCCAUUUGUGCAGUGCAGUUUGGGUAAAAAAGAAGGUUCGGGUUAGUUCGUGGCAGAUAGGCGUAGCUCCGUAAAAUCCCCGUGCCGUGCACGAUACCAGUUGCGUUCCUGCGGGCGAUGCCAGCGUUGCACUUUUCCCCAUCCAAAGAGAGUUGUACUACAAAAGCUGAACUGCAGUAGAUUCUGGUAAAUUUACAGGAGCCGUGUCGAACGCGUACGCACUAGUCAAUGGCUCCGUGUCGCUCAGAGUGUGAAGACGAGGUUUAAAAGUAGAUAGAUUUUACAAAACGGCGUCCUUGACGAAGGUGCACACUGCUGGCGAACUGAACAUACGCAGUACACGUACGUACUGGAUUACACAUCAAAACAGCUCUACGCAUGGAUCAUGUUCAGCAUGUAUGUAAUGUAGAUACAGGCGGGGCGGAGAUAUUAGGCAUGGGGAAGGGAAGAAAAAUCGUAGUACGAUCCUCGAAUCGAUCGAUCAGCUAGAGGUUCUGGAUGAUCUUGAGGGUCUCGCCGAUGUGCUUCUCGGGCUGGAACUGGUUGUUGUAGAUGUACUGCACCACGCCCUUCUUGUCCAGCACGUAGGUCUGCCUCCCCGGGAGCGUCCCGAAGAGGUCCGACGGCACCCCCCACUCCUUGCGCACCUUGUUCCCCUCGUCGCUCAGCAGCGUGAAGGGCAGCCGGUACUUCUUGGCGAACGCCUUGUGCGACGCCGCGUCGUCCCCGCUGAUCCCGAUCACCUCCGCCCCCGCCUUCUUGUACUUCUCGUACGAGUC
rnacentral:lncRNA from 1 species